rnacentral:rRNA from 1 species
CCUACGGGAGGCAGCAGUGGGGAAUUUUGGACAAUGGGGGCAACCCUGAUCCAGCCAUGCCGCGUGCGGGAAGAAGGCCUUCGGGUUGUAAACCGCUUUUAGCUGGGAAGAAAAGGCACGGGCCAAUACCCCGUGUUCUUGACGGUACCGGCGGAAUAAGCACCGGCUAACUACGUGCCAGCAGCCGCGGUAAUACGUAGGGUGCGAGCGUUAAUCGGAAUUACUGGGCGUAAAGCGUGCGUAGGCGGUUCGUUGUGUCUGCCGUGAAAGCCCCGGGCUCAACCUGGGAAUGGCGGUGGAAACUGGCGAGCUGGAGUGUGGCAGAGGGGGGUGGAAUUCCAGGUGUAGCAGUGAAAUGCGUAGAGAUCUGGAGGAACACCGAUGGCGAAGGCAGCCCCCUGGGCUGACACUGACGCUGAGGCACGAAAGCGUGGGGAGCAAACAGGAUUAGAUACCCUGGUAGUCCACGCCCUAAACGAUGGCAACUGGGUGUUGGGGGAGCGAUUCCUCAGUACCGUAGCUAACGCGUGAAGUUGCCCGCCUGGGGAGUACGGCCGCAAGGUUAAAACUCAAAGGAAUUGACGG